rnacentral:lncRNA from 1 species
GUUUAGUGAAGGAAGUUUUUCUGUUUUUUUUCACGAAAUCAGGGACUGAAAUGGUUACGAGGUCGAUACAUCACACGCGCUCAUAACCUUCUUUUCCUUUCCUUUUCUACUCUUCUUCUUCUUCCUUCUAUUCUUCAACCUUCUGUAUGUAUUCCACUUCCAGCUAGGUUUCAAAAAAACCCAAAAGAUCCAUUAUGUAUCUCACUUUUUCU